rnacentral:rRNA from 1 species
AGAGUUUGAUCCUGCUCAGGACGAACGCUGGCGGCGUGCCUAAUACAUGCAAGUCGAACGAAGCUUUCUUUCACCGAAUGCUUGCAUUCACCGAAAGAAGCUUAGUGGCGAACGGGUGAGUAACACGUAGGCAACCUGCCCAAAAGAGGGGGAUAGCACUUGGAAACAGGUGCUAAUACCGCAUAACCAUGAACACCGCAUGAUGUUCGUGUAAAAGACGGCUUUUGCUGUCACUUUUGGAUGGGCCUGCGGCGUAUUAACUUGUUGGUGGGGUAACGGCCUACCAAGGCGAUGAUACGUAGCCGAACUGAGAGGUUGAUCGGCCACAUUGGGACUGAGACACGGCCCAAACUCCUACGGGAGGCAGCAGUAGGGAAUCUUCCACAAUGGACGAAAGUCUGAUGGAGCAACGCCGCGUGAAUGAAGAAGGCCUUCGGGUCGUAAAAUUCUGUUGUCAGAGAAGAAUGUGCGUGAGAGUAACUGUUCACGUAUUGACGGUAUCUGACCAGAAAGCCACGGCUAACUACGUGCCAGCAGCCGCGGUAAUACGUAGGUGGCAAGCGUUGUCCGGAUUUAUUGGGCGUAAAGGGAACGCAGGCGGUCUUUUAAGUCUGAUGUGAAAGCCUUCGGCUUAACCGAAGUAGUGCAUUGGAAACUGGAAGACUUGAGUGCAGAAGAGGAGAGUGGAACUCCAUGUGUAGCGGUGAAAUGCGUAGAUAUAUGGAAGAACACCAGUGGCGAAAGCGGCUCUCUGGUCUGUAACUGACGCUGAGGUUCGAAAGCGUGGGUAGCAAACAGGAUUAGAUACCCUGGUAGUCCACGCCGUAAACGAUGAGUGCUAAGUGUUGGAGGGUUUCCGCCCUUCAGUGCUGCAGCUAACGCAUUAAGCACUCCGCCUGGGGAGUACGGUCGCAAGACUGAAACUCAAAGGAAUUGACGGGGGCCCGCACAAGCGGUGGAGCAUGUGGUUUAAUUCGAAGCAACGCGAAGAACCUUACCAGGCCUUGACAUCUUCUGACAAUUCCAGAGAUGGAACGUUCCCUUCGGGGACAGAAUGACAGGUGGUGCAUGGUUGUCGUCAGCUCGUGUCGUGAGAUGUUGGGUUAAGUCCCGCAACGAGCGCAACCCUUAUUGUCAGUUGCCAUCAUUAAGUUGGGCACUCUGGCGAGACUGCCGGUGACAAACCGGAGGAAGGUGGGGAUGACGUCAAAUCAUCAUGCCCCUUAUGACCUGGGCUACACACGUGCUACAAUGGACGGUACAACGAGUCGCUAACUCGCGAGGGCAAGCUAAUCUCUUAAAGCCGUUCUCAGUUCGGAUUGCAGGCUGCAACUCGCCUGCAUGAAGUCGGAAUCGCUAGUAAUCGCGAAUCAGCAUGUCGCGGUGAAUACGUUCCCGGGCCUUGUACACACCGCCCGUCACACCAUGAGAGUUUGUAACACCCAAAGUCGGUGGGGUAACCUUUUGGAGCCAGCCGCCUAAGGUGGGACAGAUGAUUGGGGUGAAGUCGUAACAAGGUA